rnacentral:sRNA from 2 species
UUGGAGUUAGUUAGGCUGCUGACCGCUCUCUUACCCUGUAUCGUGCCUGUCUGUCCCUAAUCCCGAAGCAUGGGACGAUAACAACAGCAACAAGGCUGGACAAAAAAACGAAUCGCCAUGCUUGUUCCAAGUGUGGGCCGCGUCCAGUGUGCAGUGUCCGGUGCGUCGUGUUGUACUGUACAUACCUUUCGGUUGAAACGAAUGGCUUUGAUGCUGAAAAACCCCCCUUUCCCUGUGCUGAUUGAGGGCUGUUGAGUGGUCAUUUGGGCACGUCCCUCUAGUCAAAUAAAUAUCCGCACUAAAACCGGGACCCUUCAAGCACGAAUGGUCGAAGCCACCAAACACCAGACCCCGCCCCAGCACAGCGUCGCGGGACAGUGAGAGCUUCCUCGGUGUUCAGCCAGUGGACCAAAAAUCCCUCAUACAACGCGGCGGCACGACGGAAAGACGGCUUCUCCUGCUGCUUGCUCCAUGAUUGCGUGGACACGGUUCGGCGGGAUAUGGAAUAUCUAUCUGGUCCCCCAAUCCAAACAUCACAUGUUUGGUUCUCUCCCUCUCUCCUGAAUUUUGUGUGGUCAUCCCCUCGCACCGCACGGGGAGAAAGCCGGUGGUGGUGAGCUGACAAGGAAGCAUCGUUCUCUCGUAUAUGUAUGUUUGCCGGAAAGGAAAGCAAAACGGAAAAGGGGAAGGAAAGGGAAUGCAUCAAGAUAUUGGGCUAAUAAUUUAGAUGAUCAAUGCGACUCUAUGUGUGUAGUAAUAAUGAACAUAAUAAGCAUAUCCACGGUCGAGGCAUUAUGAUAACCAUUAGGCAACUAGUCAAUACUUAUUUAUUACAUACAGAAUCAAUCUUUAAACUUUAGGGGCCUGCCUAAUUAGAUACUACUUUUGGCCGGUCUAGCACCAUUGUAUAGGCGCUAGUAUACCCUGCUUGUGAAACAAACUUGCUAAAAUGCACUUUUGGGGGUUGAAGUAAUUUACUCAUACUUCUUUCAUUCCUGAGCUUCGGUUUGCCUCAUCCUGUCUUGUCCUUGCUCACUAUGAUGCCAUGGCGUUCACCUGGGCCAUAAGACAGAAAUAGCGGAAGGUGUUGGAUGGGUUGAGGGGUCUUGCUUGAAUUGUGAGGAUUCAGGUACGAUUAGACUCCCGGAAAGACAUCUGCAAUUCUGACGGACCCGAUUUCAAAUGAGCCGUGGCAUCUUCUGAUGAAAUCGCUGGUGCAGUCUCACUGGAGGUCUGCUGACGUCUCCUCUGCCCUCUUGCUUCCCACUCAUCCAUGACAUUAUCCCAGAUGUCGCUCUCCUUACCGAUAUCGCUAUCAUCGCUAGACUCCGCAAGAUCAUCAUCCUCUUCUCCAAGUGUACUAAAUUCUGAUUUUCUCUUUUUGGAUGUCGCGCUCUUUGAACCGCCGCCACUGUAGUUGGCCUUAAGUUGUGCCCCGCUUAGAUAUUCUGCCUUCCACACCGUCUGAGUCUUCUCGACGCUAGUCGACACUUCGAGGUGAAUAACAUUGCGGGGGUCACCGGUUGUAACGAAGGGCUUCACAAACAGAAGAAUGGCCCAAGCGAAUCGAGCAAAGAGAUAAGGACGGGAGUCGUUUCCAAGGUAUUGGACUAUGGUGUUGUGGUAGGUCGGCCAGUAUUCAGCAGCAUUAUCGGAAAGUAUGUGUGAUACGUAGUAUGCUGAACGAGUACUGGUAUCCGUCUCAUGCGCGCCUCCUCCCCCAGCAAUCUUUGGUACGAUAACGAACCAGCGUUUGUCGAAGCAUUUAUGAAUAUCCGGUCUAAGCGGAAGGAGAUUCGCUGGAUUAUCAAUAUCUCCCAAGUCUCUACCAUAUCGGUACAUCCCAUUUCUAGAGUACCAGAGCACUUCUUCCUUCGGCACGAGGUGUGCUUCUUCAGUGCAUAUCGAGAAGUUGGUGAUGCCACAGCGAGGUCCAGUGGUUUCAGGAAAUACGGAUGUGGGGCCCCAAGUAUCUGGGAUGCGGCCGUGCGGGAACUCCCAGUCCUGGAAACUGGGGACAAUGGGGUAUAUGCCUAGUAGAAAUGGAUCAGAACAGCGAUGAGAAGGUGGAGAAGUUUGCAUACUCGCGCAAGCGUCAACCAGAAAAUAGCGGCCAGUUUCAAACGCGUUGUUUCCGAUGAUCUGGCAGGCAAUCAAGGCGGUUUGGUGGUGAACUCCAAAGGUGUGAGGAGCUAUUUGAUCAACACGCGGAAGGAUCAGGAGAAUAUUGCGGGGUGCUUCAUAGCCAGGAUGCAAGAAAUAUAUAUUUUCGGAUAUUGAUCUUUCUACAGGAGGGAUCGGGGACGCAUGGAACUCAGACAGACUUCCAUCAGGCAUUUUGAAGGAUAUAGCGGCAGUAGUGAGAUAGAAGAAUAGAGGUCGUGAGUGGAGAGAGAGAAGAAUGGAGGUCGUGGAGUGGAGAGUUCUACGGGUUGGCCUUGGUUAACUCUUUUGGUUGUUCUCGAUUCCUACGGAAGGAGCAGUUGUUAGGUCACUAGAGCAAAAGAGCUCAUUCACCACUACCCAAUCCAAUCCCGCCAACGGCAGUGGAUACUAACAAGAACUCUAUUAAUAAGCAUCAGCUGUUUGAUAAACAGAACCUAACUAGCAGGCUUCAACGCUAACGAUACCUCAAAGGUGAAGUGC